AUUGAACGCUGGCGGAAUGCUUUACACAUGCAAGUCGAACGGCAGCACGGACUUCGGUCUGGUGGCGAGUGGCGAACGGGUGAGUAAUGUAUCGGAACGUGCCCAGUCGUGGGGGAUAACGUAGUGAAAAUUACGCUAAUACCGCAUACGAUCUAUGGAUGAAAGCGGGGGAUCGCAAGACCUCGCGCGAUUGGAGCGGCCGAUAUCAGAUUGGGUAGUUGGUGGGGUAAAGGCCCACCAAGCCAACGAUCUGUAGCUGGUCUGAGAGGACGACCAGCCAAACUGGAACUGAGACACGGUCCAGACUCAUACGGGAGGCAGCAGUGGGGAAUUUUGGACAAUGGGCGAAAGCCUGAUCCAGCCAUUCCGCGUGCAGGAUGAAGGCCCUCGGGUUGUAACUGCUUUUGUACAGAACGAAAAGGUUUCUACUAAUACUAGGAGCUCAUGACGGUACUGUAAGAAUAAGCACCGGCUAACUACGUGCCAGCCGCCGCCGUAA
rnacentral:rRNA from 1 species